rnacentral:rRNA from 1 species
ACGGCUCAGUAACACGUGGAUAAUCUGCCCUCAGGUGAGGUAUAAUCCCGGGAAACUGGGGCUAAUCCCUCCUAGGAGACGGGUGCUGGAAUGCUCUGUCUCUGACAGGUCCGCCGCCUGAGGAUGAGUCUGCGUCCGAUUAGGUUGUUGUUGGGGUAACGGCCCACCAAGCCUUUGAUCGGUACGGGUUGUGGGAGCAAGAGCCCGGAGAUGGAUUCUGAGACAUGAAUCCAGGCCCUACGGGGCGCAGCAGGCGCGAAAACUUUACAAUGCGAGCAAUCGUGAUAAGGAAACCCUGAGUGCCUGUCAAUGCAGGCUGUUCUGGUGUCUAACCCACACCAGGAGAAAGGGCGGGGCAAGACCGGUGCCAGCCGCCGCGGUAAUACCGGCUGCUCGAGUGAUAGCCGCUUUUACUGGGCUUAAAGCGUUCGUAGCUUGGUCGUUAAGUCUCUGGGGAAAUCUUCCGGCUCAACCGGAAGGCGUCUCAGGGAAACUGGCGACCUAGGAACCGGGAGAGGUGAGACGUACUUCGGGGGUAGGAGUGAAAUCUUGUAAUCCCCGAGGGACGACCGAUGGCGAAGGCAUCUCACCAGAACGGCUUCGACAGUGAGGGACGAAAGCUGGGGGAGCAAACCGGAUUAGAUACCCGGAUAAUCCCAGCCGUAAACGAUGUGCGUUAGGUGUGUCAGUGACCACGAGUCGCUGAGGUGCCGAAGGGAAACCGUGAAACGCACCGCCUGGGAAGUACGGUCGCAAGGCUGAAACUUAAAGGAAUUGGCGGGGGAGCAC